rnacentral:lncRNA from 1 species
CUUUAUCUCAACUCAAGGGUUUCCUCACUUUUUCCUCCUUCCAUUUCUCUCCCAGGUCCUGCUGUGAAGCUGGGUGGGACUGAAGUGGCUCAACACAGCACUCUUGGGAACAGCACCUUAGACAUGCUGUAAUAUGCAUUCAGUACAGAAGGAGCAUUGCCAUCUUGCUGAAGUUCAGCACUGCAGCACCUACUUCAUGUCUAACAUAUUUGGGAAUUACAAAUUGCCUGACACUCCCCAAGAGCAUUGAAUGCAGUACAGAUCUGGAGGGGAAAGGAUGCUUUUCAUAAUGUGUAUCUGCUUGGAAUAACAAAGAUGUGACCAUUGCAGAAGCCCUGGUGUUCCUAAGUCCAGCAGCUGUCUUGAGAUGUAUACUCAUUGCUUAUUUUUAAACAUGCAAAACUACUGGGAGGAGAGAAGAGGAAAAUGAAGAAUUCAAAGUGAUUACCAGAGUAUGUUAUAAAUAAUAUGUAAAACAAUGGUAUGUAAAUGUACCAUGGUGUAGCUAGAAUACAUUGCCACAAAAACUUUUUAUUUAAUUACAGACCAUGGAAAAUGAGCCUCCAGAACAGGGCAAAGUUUUAGGCAAAGCUAAAUAAUGCUAUAAUGUUUCAAAAAGGGGGCAACUGCAUCCUCACUUCCUGUUAUGGAGGCAAACUUAAGGCUAAUAAACGACAUUAGAAUAACA